rnacentral:rRNA from 1 species
GACAGAGGCCUCGAGCGUUAGGCGGAAUCACUGGGCUUAAAGCGUGUGUAGGCGGGUCGUUAAGUACCUUGUGAAAUCCCACGGCUCACCCGUGGAACUGCUGGGUAUACUGGCGAUCUUGGGCCAACUAGGGGCAACUGGAACAAGCGGUGGAGCGGUGAAAUGCUUAGAGAUUACAUGGAAUACCAAUUGCGAAGGCAGGUUACUACUAAUGGAUUGACGCUGAUGGACGAAAGCGUGGGUAGCGAACAGG